rnacentral:hammerhead_ribozyme from 1 species
AUUCGGCUGACGAGUUCCAAAUAGGAGGAAACGCGCAUCCUUGAU